UGCCUUUUUUGAGAUUGAAUUUGGGAUUGUGAUAAUUAUUUUUUUGCUUUAUUAGACGGAUACUCUUUUUCCUUCAUGGUGUUUUUCCCUCUGGGUUUUUUGGCCAUGAAGAUUUUAAUAAGGUCCGGCCUUGAGUGAUCGUUAUGUGUUCUCCAAGGUUUACGUGUUGUUUUUUAUGAAUGACCAUAUGGCUUCUUUCAA